UUGUAUAAAUCUCAUAAGAACAAUGUAACGCUUUUGCUGCAUGUGGUCGGUUAUGGUGUCCCACGCACAUGACACAUCCCUCCCACGGCCACGGACUUUUUUCCCUGACCCUUCACUUCCACCUUUUUUUAUUAACUAACUUCGUUGUUCGUUGUACCCUUUUUUUGUUAGAAUACAUGAUGACGUGGCGGUGGCAAGGAAAAAUACGGACCGGAGGCUGCGUUGUUCGUCAGCGAUAAGUGUUGGGACAACCAUUAUCUUCGCAAGCGAAUUCUGUCCAUAACAAUCCAAACCUAGAGGUAAGGAACGAAUUUCAGGGCAACCACCGAUCACGACAAAACCUCCGGCGACGACGGAGAAAUCUCUGGCGCCGGAGCCUCCGUGGUUCUGGGAAAUGCUAAUGUGGUGGCGGAGAUGGACGGUGCUGGUGGUGGCGAUUUGGAUUCAGGCCUCCACGGGGACGAACUUCGAUUUCUCAGCUUAUUCCUCCAACCUGAAAUCCGUUCUGCAGAUUUCUCCGUCGAGACUGAAUUAUCUGGCGGUGGCUUCGGACUUGGGCAAGGCUCUAGGCUGGUCCUCCGGCUUCGCUCUAUCAUAUUUCCCGCUCUCCGGCGUCCUCUUCGCCACCGCGGCCAUGGAUCUCGUCGGUUACGGCGUCCAGUGGUUCGUCAUCUCCAAUUUCAUCACUCUGCCAUUUCUAGGAACUCUUGGCCCCUCGUCUUAACAACAAAGCCUUCUGGGGGAGCAACAUGAAUAUCUUUAGGCAAAGAUGAUGUGUUGGCAGGAGAUCCAAAAUCAGCGCCUAUCUUUCU